GGAUGUGACGUCACCGUGUCGCAGCGUUGAGCAGCUGUGUUUCAGGAUGCGCGUGCAGCGGCGGCUGUCCUCCGUCCUACGGGACUUCACGGUGUCUGCGGUGACAGAAAUCUGCGCCAGAGUUCGGCUGAAGCCAGAGAACGCAAACAUGGAGGAGGAGCUGCUGGCUGUGAUGAGGAGACUCUGUGAACCUCUGCUGCAGGAGCUGAGGAAGCUGCUGGAGGAGGUGCAGCAGAAAAAACAGGAGGAGGAGGAGACUAAUGACAACACUGACUCUGCAGAGAGCCUCAGAAGUUUCCAGAUGUUUCCAGAUGUUCCCAGUAAAGGUGAGCCUCUAACAGAUGCCACGCCUCCUACAGCUGAUGUGAAGGUAAACAGCCAAUCAGAGCAACCUCCUGCAGCUAGCAGUAGGCGGAGCUUCAGCUGCUCCACCUGCAGCAGAGUGUUUACCACCCGCAGCAGCCUCCGUGUCCACCAGCUGACCGUUCAUGGCAAGCAGCGUCCACACAGCUGUCGUCACUGUGGGAAGGCAUUUGGCACCCGCAGCCACCUGCGGGCGCACCAGGUGGUAGCCCGACAGACAUCCACCUGCUCGUCCUGCGGGGAGACGCUGGCGCCGGCGUGCAGCCUCAGAAAACACCGGCUGACGUGUGGAAGAGCUGCAGAGAGCUUCAGGUGUGGCGACUGCGGGAAGGAGUUCUCCAGACGAAGCUACCUGUCCGCUCACCGCAGAGUCCAUCUGCAGGAGAAACCAUUUGGCUGUCCCACGUGUAGUAAAGGAUUUACAGCUAGGCGCAGCGUCCACGUGCACCAGCUGACCGUGCACAGAGGCCUGAGGCCGUUCAGCUGCAGCAUCUGCAGUAAAACCUUCAGCCAGCGGGGCGGCCUCACGGUGCACCUACGAACGCACAGCGGUGAGCGGCCGCACACCUGCGAAGUGUGUGGUGGCAGCUUCUCCAGCCGCAGCAGCCUGACGGUUCACCGCCGUGUCCACAGCGGAGAGAAGACCUUCCGCUGCGACACCUGCAGCAAGAGCUUCAGCGUGUCGGCCAACCUGCGGCGCCACCAGCUGGUCCACUCGGGCCGCCGAGCGUUCAGCUGCGACGUGUGCGGCCGGAGUUUCAUCCAGGCCGGACACCUGAAGGCGCACCAGGCCAUGCAUGAUGGGAGGUGGGCCUUCAUAUGCAACACCUGCGGGAAGGGCUUCAGACAACGUGGCGCCCUGCUGGUGCACGAGAGGAGCCACACCGGCAUCAAACCAUACAGCUGCGGCGACUGCGCCAAAGUCUUCUCCUCAUCUACGUCACUGAAGCGCCACCAGCUGCUGCACGACGGGCGGAGAGACCACACCUGCUGCCAGUGUGGGAAGAAGUUCAGCAGCGCUCAGGUGCUGAAAACUCACCUGCGGCUGCAUGCCGGCAGCAAGGCGUUCACCUGUGAUGUGUGCGGCCGCGGCUACAGCUCUCAGAGCUACCUGAAGACGCACCGGCGCAGCCACUCGGAGGGGAAGCCGUUUAGCUGCCAUCAGUGCGACAAAACCUUCGCCACGCAGGCCAGCGUCACGCUGCAUCUACGCACACACAGUGGCGAGAAGCCAUUUGUCUGCGAGGUCUGUGGGCGGAGCUUCAGCGUGGCGCAGAACCUCGCCAGACACAGACUGGUCCACAGCGGAGAGAAGCCGUUCGAGUGCAGCGACUGUGGGAAGAAGUUCACCCAGAACAGCAACCUGAAGGCUCAUCAGCUGGUUCACAGCGGUCUGCGACCGUUCAGCUGCUCCACCUGCAACCGCAGCUUCGCCUCCCACAGGAGCCUUCGGGACCACAGGUGUGUCAGCUGACCAGUGGGUGGAGCUACAGAGAGGAGCGCCACCCUCAGGAGCCUCCGGUAGCCUUUGUAUAUUUUGUUUGAUAAUUUCUUCUGGACACUGAGCUUUUUCUCUGUCAUAAAUAAUUUUUUUUAGUUAUUUAUUUUUACUUUUUACAUAUUAAUUAUAAAACAGUUUGCUCGCGUUUGGAGAAAUGAGUUUGCAAAGGUUCCCAGAAUCCAAAUAAAUAAUUUCAGUAUAUUUGACCCCUUGUUUUUGUCCAGUAUGUUGGUGGUUAUUUAUUCAUUAGCAGCAGAAGCUGACCUACUGGGUACGCACCAUUUACCGCCCGGGUGACCCUGUGGCGAACCAGGUGGGCGGAGCUUUUCCUCCAUAUAAACCAUGCGAUCAGCCGGGGCGUCAGCUGGAUGACUCACUCAGAUCCAACAGCAUGUUCGGCGAGAACGUCCUUUUUAACCACGUGGGCGGAACAAACAAAUCUGUCUACAGAUAAACUUACGUCCAUCUGAUAAAUAGGUUGAUUUUUGACCUUUAUUUGUUCAGUAGAUUCCUCAAACAACUUCUGCUGAUAUUAUGAAUCUUUUCAGCUGUUAUGUUACAGCCCAGCUUAUUGUUCUUAUAUGUUAAGAAACCACUGUUGCACUUCGCAGACUACAACCUGAAAGAAAUGCGUACAGAAUUAUGGGUUUAUAAUUAAAAGAUCCAUUCUUCUUUUGUUUUGGUAAAGCCUCUUUCCUCUCCAUUUAAACGCCUCCUCUUCCGCCGCUCGUUGUCAUCACUUCUUCCCGGUCAUCGCCCAGCUGAGGUCAAACCGGACUAAACCUCCCCACGGCGACCUGCUCCAACCGAACCGAGCCGAACUGAUCCAGGUUUCC